AUGCGUUUCAUGAUCAUUCAGAGUUCAGGUCUGGUGCACAUGCUCAAAAUCAUAAACCCUCUAGUUGUAAAACUGAUAAAUUUUCACCUAAGUUGGUCGUCUACUAGAGUAAUGCUCAACACCUUGCUAGAUAUCAUACAGCUAUGUGAUAUUGUAUACGUGCAUGUUUUAAAAAUUGGCUUUAAUUCAAUACUUUGCUAUUUGUCAAUAUAUAUAUGUUUACGUACAAUACUGAAAUAUGCUUAUUUUUUUGACUUGACAGCCGUGUACAAUAUGUGUACAAUGUUAUCAGAGAAAUGUCUAAUGUACUAUGCAUACUUAACAUGCUAA
rnacentral:rRNA from 1 species